rnacentral:piRNA from 1 species
UCAAGUCCAAGCAGGGUUCCCACAUCCA